GACGCCGCCAGCUGAUCGGAGACAGGAGCCGGUGUGUGCUGGGCGCUGGGGAGAGACAGCGCCGCCGGCCGUGGGGGACGGACGCACUGGCUAGCUCCCCUACACUCUGCACCCCUCCACCCCACCCAGCACCAGGAGCCUGUACCUCCCAUGUCCUCACCUGGCUGAGCCGCAGUAGUUCUUCAGUGGCAAGCUUUAUGUCCUGACCCAGCUAAAGCUGCCAGUUGAAGAACUGUUGCCCUCUGCCCCUGGCUUCGAGGAGGAGGAAGAGGAGGAGGAAGAUACGGAGCUGCCUUUCCCUCAUCUGGAAGUGUCUUCCUCCAGCCCUGGGUAUGUGACUUUGUCAUGGAUGAGGAAGAGCGGCCUGGGGAAACAGAAGCAGGCAGAAGACCAAUAAAGGACCAGGCAUCCUGCAGAGGGACCCAUAAAUAAAGGCCAGAAGCUCGCCAGCAGGGGAGGACCACCAGCCUCCACCACCCCGGACAAGCCUCCAGCCAUGUAUUUCAUUCACCGCCACCCUUUCUGGCUCCCUUGGAGCUCUGGGACCCUACUAAAGUGCCCUGUGACUCCAUCCUCCUCCUACUUUUUCCCCACCCUGUCAUUUUUAUAUAUGCAGCUUCAUGGAGCAGGAGCCAGCUGUGAAAGGACAAACACAAAAAUUUCCUAAAAGAAAAUCAAAUGAUUAAGACUAUGAAAAAUGUUUGUUUCAUUAGUAAUUAAAGGAAGGCAAAUAGGAGUGAAGGCAUUUCCUCAUAACAAACAAUAACAAAAAACAAGACCCAGUUAUUGGCAAAUAAUUACUAACAAGUCCAUUCACUGCCUAUGGGGGGGUCUGAAUAUGCCCUUCUUGAGUGUUAAUUUGGUAAUAUGUGUGAAAUACCUUAAGUUUUACAUGACCUUUGACCUAGGAAGUCUACAUUUUGGAAUAUAUCUGAAGAAAAUAAUUAAAGAUUUAGUUAUAUCAUCCCAACAUUGCAAUAGAGACAAAUGGAGAGCAACUGUUUAAUUAGGAAUUCAUCUCUUUUCUGCUAUAAUGGAAAUUUGCAAUAGGGGAUUGCUUAAGUAAAUUAUUAUAUAUCCAGCCAGAUGGUGGAAUACUGCACAGCCAUUAAAAGUCCUUCAGAAGAACAUUUGACUGGAAAGAAAAGUGUUCCUUGAAUAUUAAAAAGGUUAUAAAAUAGCAUGUAUUCUGCAAUUGCUUUUUAAAAAUAUGGGUGUAUACGUGUCUACAUCAAGCAUAAAGAAGUCUGAGGGCAUAUUCCAAAAUGUUAACAGUAGUCAUUAUCUUUGAAGGGUGGAAAAAGUGUCAUUUUUCCUUACUAUCCAAAUGUUCCAUACUAUGUAUAACUUUCAUGUAAUAAAAAAACAUAAAUAU